rnacentral:lncRNA from 1 species
UAUAUUGAUCACAAUACGUAGAAAUAAUUUAACAUUACAUCUGAAUAUCGAGUCUCGACAAUGUUAUAGGACCUCUAAAUGGACUUGUUACAAUUGAUGAUCAGAUUACCAAGAUGGAGUCACAUGCUGCCACAAGUUAACAAAUUCUGGUAUUUGAAAUGAACUCAACAUACACAAACAACUGCAGACAACGCACCACGAUGAAGAAUCCGAAACAAGGAGGAAACAGUAGUUCCAAACAUAGGAGACUCUACUAAACCACGCCAGCAGAA